rnacentral:pre_miRNA from 1 species
AUAUGAAUCAACUGGUGGUCUUGUUAGAAUGCAGAUUCUGAUUCAACAGAUCUGCAGUAGGGCUCAAGAUUCUGUAGUUCUAACCAGCUCCCAGGUGAUGCCCAU